rnacentral:misc_RNA from 1 species
GAUGAAGAACGCAGCGAACGUGCGAAACGUAAUGUGAAUUGCAGAAUUCAGUGAAUCAUCGAAUCUUUGAACGCAUCUUGCGCUCCUUGGUAUUCCGAGGAGCAUGCCUGUUUGAGUGUCGUGAAUACUCUCAACUUCAACCCUUUUUUCGGAAAGGGAGGAAGGUUGGACUUGGGUGUUUGUUGAAGUGCGAGCUUCGACUCAUCCUAAAUGCAUUAGCGAUCUGCCUCGAUCAAACACAAUGUGAUAAUUAAAACUAAAGCAUUGUUUAAUGAUCAAGUCGAGACUGCUUCUAACUGUCGCAAGACAAUAACGUGCAUACAUUUGUGCAUGUCAUUUGACCUCAAAUCAGGUAGGACUACCCGCUGAACUUAAGCAUAUCAAUAAGCGGAGGA